rnacentral:rRNA from 1 species
ACGCUCGACACCUACGGGAGACAGCAGUGGGGAAUAUUGCACAAUGGAGGAAACUCUGAUGCAGCGACGCCGCGUGAGGGAAGAAGGUCUUCGGAUUGUAAACCUCUGUUGUCAGGGACGAUGAUGACGGUACCUGACGAGGAAGCCACGGCUAACUACGUGCCGANNCGCGAGUAUGNGCGGCGUGNGAGAG